rnacentral:rRNA from 1 species
AACGCUGGCGGCGCGCUUAACACAUGCAAGUCGAGCGAGAACCAGGGCUUCGGCCCUGGGGACAGCGGCGAACGGGUGAGUAACACGUGGGUAAUCUGCCCUCGGUUCUGGGAUAGCCCGGGGAAACCCGGAUUAAUACCGGAUAGCCUCUCGAGCCCUCGGGCUCGUGAGCAAAGGUAGCUUCGGCCUCCGACCGAGGAGGAGCCUGCGGCGGAUUAGCUUGUUGGCGGGGUAACGGCCCACCAAGGCGACGAUCCGUAGCUGGUCUGAGAGGACGAUCAGCCACACUGGGACUGAGACACGGCCCAGACUCCUACGGGAGGCAGCAGUGGGGAAUCUUGCGCAAUGGGCGAAAGCCUGACGCAGCGACGCCGCGUGAGGGAAGAAGGCCUUCGGGUUGUAAACCUCUUUCAGGAGGGACGAAGCCACUCGGGUUAAUAGCCCAGAGGGUGACGGUACCUCCAGAAGAAGCCCCGGCUAACUACGUGCCAGCAGCCGCGGUAACAC